CGGAAGAGAUAAGUGCUGAAAGCAUCUAAGCACGAAACUUGCCCCGAGAUGAGUUCUCCCUGACUCCUUGAGAGUCCUGAAGGAACGUUGAAGACGACGACGUUGAUAGGCCGGGUGUGUAAGCGCAGCGAUGCGUUGAGCUAACCGGUACUAAUGAACCGUGAGGCUUAACCUU
rnacentral:rRNA from 1 species